GAGCGUAGGGCGCGAGCGUUUGUCCGGGAUUUAUUGGGCGUAAAGAGCUCGUAGGCGGCUUGUUGCGUCAGCUGUGAAAACCCGCGGCUCAACUGCGGGCUUGCAGUCGAUACGGGCUGGCUAGAGGUAGGUAGGGGAGAACGGAAUUCCUGGUGUAGCGGUGGAAUGCGCAGAUAUCAGGAAGAACACCCGUGGCGAAAGCGGCUCUCUGGAACGGUACUGACGCUGAGACGCGAAAGCGUGGGGAGCGAACAGG
rnacentral:rRNA from 1 species